CGGGAUUAUUUGUCCGCCAGAGCGGAAAUACGUUCCACACCCCCCUCUUUCUCGCUCCCCCUCCUCUGUGCCUCCAGGCCCCGCGGCCAGUCUGCGCGUGCGUGCCAAGUGCCGCGCGGAGGCCCGCUCACUCGGGCCCGCCCCCCAAUCCCGGCUGCCCGUGGCGCUACCCGCUCCGCGUCCCCGCGCGCCCCGCCUGCGCCGCAUCCCGCAGCGCGCGCGCGCGCACCCGUUCUCUAGGCUGCCGGCGCUGUCACCUGCUCCCAGGGGUGGUGCCUCUCCGGUCCAGCUGUGCAGAGCGCUGCCCUGGGUGCAUCAGCGGCACCUCUCAGGGGCCCAACCGACCUGUGGCUAACAGAGCUGUUGACUAAGUUACGGUCUCCACAGCUUCAGCGACAGCAUUUAGGAGCAUCUUGAAGGCUGUUCCCUUCUCUUUCCCUUCUUCUCACCUGAUACUUACACUCACUUCCCCACCUAUCCAAGUCUGUGUGAAGAUGCCACUGUUUCCUGCCAAUUGGAUUUCUUUUUUACGUCCUUCAGGAGAAUAGUGCGUUUUCCUUACGUUUCAAUUCUGAUGAAGUUUCUUAUAAUGUGUUCAAUAUCUGGUUUCCCCAUGAGACUAUAAACUUCUUGGUUGCAGGAAU